rnacentral:rRNA from 1 species
GAUGAACGCUGGCGGCGUGCCUAAUACAUGCAAGUCGAGCGAACGGACGAGAAGCUUGCUUCUCUGAUGUUAGCGGCGGACGGGUGAGUAACACGUGGAUAACCUACCUAUAAGACUGGGAUAACUUCGGGAAACCGGAGCUAAUACCGGAUAAUAUUUUGAACCGCAUGGUUCAAAAGUGGAAGACGGUCUUGCUGUCACUUAUAGAUGGAUCCGCGCUGCAUUAGCUAGUUGGUAAGGUAACGGCUUACCAAGGCAACGAUGCAUAGCCGACCUGAGAGGGUGAUCGGCCACACUGGAACUGAGACACGGUCCAGACUCCUACGGGAGGCAGCAGUAGGGAAUCCUCCGCAAUGGGCGAAAGCCUGACGGAGCAACGCCGCGUGAGUGAUGAAGGUCUUCGGAUCGUAAAACUCUGUUAUUAGGGAAGAACAUAUGUGUAAGUAACUGUGCACAUCUUGACGGUACCUAAUCAGAAAGCCACGGCUAACUACGUG